rnacentral:rRNA from 1 species
UGGGGAAUAUUGCACAAUGGGCGCAAGCCUGAUGCAGCCAUGCCGCGUGUGUGAAGAAGGCCUUCGGGUUGUAAAGCACUUUCAGCGGGGAGGAAGGCGAUAAGGUUAAUAACCUUGUCGAUUGACGUUACCCGCAGAAGAAGCACCGGCUAACUCCGUGCCAGCAGCCGCGGUAAUACGGAGGGUGCAAGCGUUAAUCGGAAUUACUGGGCGUAAAGCGCACGCAGGCGGUCUGUCAAGUCGGAUGUGAAAUCCCCGGGCUUAACCUGGGAACUGCAUUCGAAACUGGCAGGCUAGAGUCGUGUAGAGGGGGGUAGAAUUCCAGGUGUAGCGGUGAAAUGCGUAGAGAUGUGGAGGAAUACCGGUGGCGAAGGCGGCCCCCUGGACAAAGACUGACGCUCAGGUGCGAAAGCGGGGGGAGCAAACAGG